rnacentral:lncRNA from 1 species
UUUAUCCAGUCCUAGAAGGCAGUAUACUGCAGUAUUUAUCCAGUCCUAGAAGACAGUAUACUGUAGUGUUUAUCCAGUCCUAGAAAACAGUAUACUGUAGUGUUUAUCCAGUCCUAGAAGGCAGUAUACUGUAGUGUUUAUCCAGUCCUAGAAGGCCGUAUACUGUAGUAUUUAUCCAGUCCUAGAAGACAGUAUACUGUAGUGUUUAUCCAGUCCUAGAAGGCAGUAUACUGCAGUAUAUAUCCAGUCCUAGAAGACAGUAUACUGUAGUGUUUAUCCAGUCCUAGAAGGCAGUAUACUGUAUUGUUUAUCCAGUCCUAGAAGGCAGUAUACUGUAGUGUUUAUCCAGUCCUAGAAGGCAGUAUACUGCAGUAUAUAUCCAGUCCUAGAAGACAGUAUACUGUAGUGUUUAUCCAGUCCUAGAAGACAGUAUACUGUAGUGUUUAUCCAGUCCUAGAAGACAGUAUACUGUAGUGUUUAUCCAGUCCUAGAAGGCAGUAUACUGCAGUAUAUAUCCAGUCCUAGAAGGCAGUAUAGGGUAGUGUUUAUCCAGUCCUAGAAGCAGUAUACUGUAGUGUUUAUCCAGUCCUAGAAGCAGUAUACUGUAGUGUUUAUCCAGUCCUAGAAGACAGUAUACUGUAGUGUUUAUCCAGACCUAGAAGGCAGUAUACUGUAGUGUUUAUCCAGUCCUAGAAGGCAGUAUAGGGUAGUGUUUAUCCAGUCCUAGAAGGCACUAUACUGCAGUAUAUAUCCAGACCUAGAAGGCAGUAUACUGUAGUGUUUAUCCAGUCCUAGAAGGCAGUAUACUGUAGUGUUUAUCCAGUCCUAGAAGGCAGUAUAGGGUAGUGUUUAUCCAGUCCUAGAAGGCACUAUACUGCAGUAUAUAUCCAGUCCUAGAAGGCAGUAUAGGGUAGUGUUUAUCCAGUCCUAGAAGGCACUAUACUGCAGUAUAUAUCCAGUCCUAGAAGGCAGUAUACUGUAGUGUUUAUCCAGUCCUAGAAGACAGUAUACUGUAGUGUUUAUCCAGUCCUAGAAGGCAGUAUACUG